rnacentral:misc_RNA from 1 species
UCAAACUUGGUCAUUUAGAGGAAGUAAAAGUCGUAACAAGGUCUCCGUUGGUGAACCAGCGGAGGGAUCAUUACCGAGUUUACAACUCCCAAACCCCUGUGAACAUACCUAUCGUUGCUUCGGCGGGAUGCCCCAGGGCGCCCGCCGGGGACCCCAAACUCUUGUUUCGUAACAGUAUCUUCUGAGUGGCGUAAAGCAAAAAUAAAUCAAAACUUUCAACAACGGAUCUCUUGGCUCUGGCAUCGAUGAAGAACGCAGC